UACGUAGGGUGCAAGCGUUAAUCGGAAUUACUGGGCGUAAAGCGUGCGCAGGCGGUUCGUUAAGUCAGAUGUGAAAGCCCCGGGCUCAACCUGGGAACUGCAUUUGAAACUGGCGGGCUUGAGUAUGGCAGAGGGGGGUGGAAUUCCGCGUGUAGCAGUGAAAUGCGUAGAGAUGCGGAGGAACACCGAUGGCGAAGGCAGCCCCCUGGGCCGACACUGACGCUGAGGCGCGAAAGCUAGGGGAGCAAACGGG
rnacentral:rRNA from 1 species